rnacentral:rRNA from 1 species
AGAGUUUGAUCCUGGCUCAGGAUGAACGCUGGCGGCGUGCCUAACACAUGCAAGUCGAACGAAGCAAUUGAAGGAAGUUUUCGGAUGGAAUUCGAUUGACUGAGUGGCGGACGGGUGAGUAACGCGUGGAUAACCUGCCUCACACUGGGGGAUAACAGUUAGAAAUGACUGCUAAUACCGCAUAAGCGCACAGUACCGCAUGGUACGGUGUGAAAAACUCCGGUGGUGUGAGAUGGAUCCGCGUCUGAUUAGCCAGUUGGCGGGGUAACGGCCCACCAAAGCGACGAUCAGUAGCCGACCUGAGAGGGUGACCGGCCACAUUGGGACUGAGACACGGCCCAAACUCCUACGGGAGGCAGCAGUGGGGAAUAUUGCACAAUGGGCGAAAGCCUGAUGCAGCGACGCCGCGUGAGUGAAGAAGUAUUUCGGUAUGUAAAGCUCUAUCAGCAGGGAAGAAAAUGACGGUACCUGACUAAGAAGCCCCGGCUAACUACGUGCCAGCAGCCGCGGUAAUACGUAGGGGGCAAGCGUUAUCCGGAUUUACUGGGUGUAAAGGGAGCGUAGACGGCGAAGCAAGUCUGAAGUGAAAACCCAGGGCUCAACCCUGGGACUGCUUUGGAAACUGUUUUGCUAGAGUGUCGGAGAGGUAAGUGGAAUUCCUAGUGUAGCGGUGAAAUGCGUAGAUAUUAGGAGGAACACCAGUGGCGAAGGCGGCUUGCUGGACGACAACUGACGCUGAGGCGCGAAAGCGUGGGGAGCAAACAGGAUUAGAUACCCUGGUAGUCCACGCCGUAAACGAU